rnacentral:tRNA from 1 species
GGGCCCAUAGCUCAGCCUGGUCAGAGCAAUCGGCUCAUAACCGAGAGGUCCCAGGUUCAAAUCCUGGUGGGCCCACCA